UACGGAGGGAGCUAGCGUUGUUCGGAUAUACUGGGCGUAAAGCGUGCGCAGGCGGUUUGGUAAGACAGAUGUGAAAUCCCCGGGCUCAACCUGGGAAUUGCGAUGGAGACGUGCAAGGCUAGAAUGCUGGCAGAGGGGGGUAGAAUUCCACGUGUAGCAGUGAAAUGCGUAGAGAUGUGGAGGAACGACCGAUGGCGAAGGCAGCCCCCUGGGUCAAGAUUGGACGCUCAUGCACGAAAGGCGUGGGGAGCAAACGAGGAUUACGAA
rnacentral:rRNA from 1 species